UACGUAGGCAGCAAGCGUUGUUCGGAGUUACUGGGCGUAAAGGGUGUGUAGGCGGUUCGUUUAAGUUUGGUGUGAAAUCUCCCGGCUUAACCGGGAGGGUGCGCCGAAUACUGAGGGACUAGAGUACGGGAGAGGAAAGUGGAAUUCCUGGUGUAGCGGUGAAAUGACGUAGAUAUCAGGAGGAACACCGGUGGUGUAGACGGCUUCUGGACCGUAACUGACGCUGAGACACGAAAGCGUGGGUAGCAAACAGG
rnacentral:rRNA from 1 species